rnacentral:rRNA from 1 species
UACAGGGGGGGCAAGCGUUGUUCGGAAUUACUGGGCGUAAAGGGCUCGUAGGCGGCCAACUAAGUCGGACGUGAAAUCCCUCAGCUUAACUGGGGAGGGUCACGCGAUACUGCUCGACUUGAAGGCAGGAGAGGGAAGUGGAAUUCCCGGUGUAGUGGUGAAAUGCGUAGAUAUCGGGAGGAACACCAGUGGCGAAGGCGACUUACUGGCCUGUUCUUGACGCUGAGGCGCGAAAGCUAGGGUAGCAAACGGG